rnacentral:rRNA from 1 species
CCUACGGGCGGCAGCAGUGGGGAAUAUUGCACAAUGGGGGAAACCCUGAUGCAGCGACGCCGCGUGAGCGAUGCAGUAUUUAGGUAUGUUAAGCUCUAUCAGUAGGGAAGAAAAUGACGGUACCUGACUAAGAAGCCCCGGCUAACUACGGGCAAUCAGCGGCGGUAAUACGCAGGGGGCAGGCGUUAUCCGGAUUUACGGGGUGUAAAGGGGGCGUAGACGGCGGUGCAAGCCAGAUGUGAAAGCCCGGGGCUCAACCCCGGGACUGCAUUUGGAACUGUGCUGCUAGAGUGUCGGAGAGGCAGGCGGAAUUCCUGGUGUAGCGGUGAAAUGCGUAGAUAUUAGGAGGAACACCAGUGGCGAAGGCGGCCUGCUGGACGAUGACUGACGUUGAGGCUCGAAAGCGUGGGGAGCAAACAGGAUUAGAGACCCUUGUAGUC